AGCUCCAAUAGCGUAUAUUAAAGUUGUUGUGGUUAAAAAGCUCGUAGUUGGAUCUCGGCGGGCUGUGGGUGGUUUGCAUUGUUUCGAGCUAGAGCUCUUUAGGCCGGGGUUUUGCCAGAGGUUUCGGGGUGCUCUUCACCGAGUGUCCUGUGAUGCUGGCAGGUUUACUUUGAAAAAAUUAGAGUGCUCAAAGCAGGCUUUUUCGCCUGAAUAUUCGUGCAUGGAAUAAUAGAAUAGGAAGUCGUUUCUAUUUUGUUGGUUUUCGGAAAUCGACUUAAUGAUUAAUAGGGACAGUCGGGGGCAUUUGUAUUCAAACGACAGAGGUGAAAUUCUUGGACCGUUUGAAGACAAACUACUGCGAAAGCAUUUGCCAAGAAUGUUUUCA
rnacentral:rRNA from 1 species